ACUGUCAUGACAGAAGGAAGACUAACUAAGGAGGACUACUGGCUUGCAAAUGACUGGCAGAAGCCCUGACAUCUGCGGUCUUGAAGAAAUUCCAGAAGACCAAAACCAAGUGGAUGUAUCUCUUUUUCAUACAGGCCCGAGAGGGGGCAGAACCAGGUUCCUCCCCACCCAGGAUGGGAAGAAAUGGACACCAGGAUGGAGCAGGCCAGCCCUGGGCAACACCGUGGACUGGGUUCCGGUUGAAGAAGGAAGCACUUUUUUAUGGAGGCAUCUUUUGGAAAUGGCAGACAGAAACCUUCACCCCAAAAAACAGACCAUGUCUUCUAUAGGACACAGGAAGAAAUGGGAAGACAGACCUGUGUUUCAAUCCUGCCUGGGUGACCUUAAGGAAGGUAAUAUUCCAUUACGUGGAUAUACUACAUUUUGCCUAUUCAUUCAUAUGUUGCUGGACAUUUCUACUUUGGGGCUACUACGGACAAUGCUUCUAUGAACAUUUGCAUACAAGUUUUUGUGUGGACAUGUGUUUCCAAUUCUGCUGUGUACACACCUAGGAGUGGAAUUACUAGGUCACUUAAUAACUCUGUGUUGAAUUUUCCAAGGAACUGCCAAACUUUUCCAAAGCAGCUGCGCUAGUUUACAUUCCCAUUAUCUGCAUAUCUUUUUUUUGGAGAAAUGUCUAUUCAAAUCUUUUGCCCAUUUUCAGUUGGCUUAUUCGUCUAAUAUCGUACGGUAAGAGCUGUAGACAAUAAAGUGUUGAAUAAGAAAAAAAUGAGGAACUUGCGCUACUAAGUAUAAAAACGUAUAGCAGCAUUCUAGAAAUCUACUGUGAUUCAGAAAGUACCGUCAAUCCUCAUUAUUUACAGACUCUGAUCUGUGAACCUGCCUACUCUCUGAAAUUUAUUUGUAACCCCAAUCAAUUCCUGUGGUAAUGCAGAGGGGCGAACUCUAGUAGCUGAGGUGGAAGGAGACAACACUCUACCUUUUUGCUUCACCUUCGAACUGUAAACGAGUGUCCUUUUGGCUACUUGGUGCCACGGUUUUCGCAUUCUUAUUGUGGUUUUGCAGUUCAGAAUGGCUCCCAAGGAUGCUGUGUGUUUGUGGGGACGGGGUAUAUGGGAACUCUCUGCACUUUCUACUUAACUUUGCUAUGAACCCAAAACUCAACAAAUAGUUCACUAAUUAAAAAAUGGUCUCGGAGCACAGUGCUAAAGU